rnacentral:misc_RNA from 1 species
GAUGAAGAACGUAGCGAAAUGCGAUAAGUAAUGUGAAUUGCAGAAUUCAGUGAAUCAUCGAAUCUUUGAACGCACAUUGCGCCCCCUGGUAUUCCGGGGGGCAUGCCUGUCCGAGCGUCAUUACAACCCUCAAGCUCGGCUUGGUGUUGGGCCCCGCCGCCCCGGCGGGCCCUAAAGUCAGUGGCGGUGCCGUCCGGCUCCGAGCGUAGUAAUUCUUCUCGCUCUGGAGGUCCGGUCGUGUGCUCGCCAGCAACCCCCAAUUUUUUUCAGGUUGACCUCGGAUCAGGUGGGGAUACCCGCUGAACUUAAGCAUAUAUAAGCGGAGGA